rnacentral:rRNA from 1 species
GAUGAACGCUAGCGGCAGGCUUAAUACAUGCAAGUCGUGGGGCAGCAUGAGUAGCAAUACUUGAUGGCGACCGGCAAACGGGUGAGGAACACGUACACAACCUUCCUUCAAGCGGGGAAUAGCCCAGAGAAAUUUGGAUUAAUACCCCAUAAUAUAUUUGAUAAGGCAUCUUAUUAAUAUUAAAGCUUCGGCACUUGAUGAUGGGUGUGCGGCUGAUUAGAUAGUUGGUGAGGUAACGGCCCACCAAGGCGACGAUUGGUAGCCGGACUGAGAGGUUGAACGGCCACAUUGGGACUGAGACACGGCCCAGACUCCUACGGGAGGCAGCAGUGGGGGAUAUUGCACAAUGGGGGAAACCCUGAUGCAGCGACGCCGCGUGGAGGAAGAAGGUUUUUCGGAUUGGUAAACUCCUGUCGUUAGGGACGAUAAUGACGGUACCUAACAGAAAGCACCGGCUAACUACGUGCCAGCAGCCGCGGUAAUGUACAGUGU